AUAUUUUUAUCAAUCAAUACUGUCUAAUUGCGUAAUAUUUUGAUAACGAAACGAUUUCUUAUCAAUAAAAAGAAAAAUUUAAAUUUUAAUGAAUUAUUUAUAAAAUUUAAAACAUAUUGGAAAAAUUUUAUAACAAAACACUUUGUCCACCACAAUUGUUGGAUUUAACGAUCCAUUCACAAUCCUGAUGAAUAUUCACGAAAAGCAGUCAAAGUAAGUUGACAUUCGCAGUUAUCCUCAAUUUAAUUCGUCAUAUGGAUAGCCUGUAAAAUCAGUUUCUGCACUUCGCGCGCGAUCCUAUUUGCACUUUAUCGAAUUUGACAAGUUGAUCUAACUUUAAAUGUAAAUAAUCUUGAAAACUUAAAAAUAACAUAAUGGAAAAUAAUCUAGGAAUAUAUGUGAAAUAAAUAUAUUCAUCAGCUGUAAAAUUUGUUUCAAUUAGGAAUUAGAAUUUAUGUCCAGAAGUUUUGAUAUCACAUAUGAGUUGUUUUCAGAUAUAAAACUUCUUUUGAUCCUAAUAUAUUAACGUUAUUAAUAAUUCGAAUAUCGCAUGCUAUUGGGUAGAAGAAUUAAAACGAUAUUCAUUUUAUUCAAUGGAAUUUUAAGUUAUUAAAUGAAGAGCACUGUUUAUCUGAAUUUAUAUGGGAGCGCUCGUUGAUCUAGGACGUAUGCAAGUGGUUGCAGGCUAAAGGGGGAGGUUUCCUUCGUGGAAGGUGGAAAUUCGCGGAGGUGUCUGCAUCCCGAGCCCAGGUCAUUUCAGGUCGAAAGUUCGUCGGGCCAUACAUCUCUCUAUACAUAGAAGCGAUUUACCUCUCUUCCCCCUUGAUGCUUCCACCCUUUCCUCUCUUUCUCGCGCAUCCUGUCCCGUGGACUGACAGCUGAAGCCAGAACUGACUGAAAUAUUCAUCGGCACAAGGCGAACGAGGCGCGACUGAACGUCGAUCUGUCAACCUCUUUGACUAUAUAAAUAUGGACUGCCAUCGAGCUUUUGCGCAUUAUAUAGAUUUAUAACAGAAAAAGAAAUAUUUUCAACAUUUUACGAUUAUCAGUGGAAAUGAUUUAACAGGAAUUAAAAUUAGGAUCAAUGUUACUUUGAAUUAGAAAAAAAGAUUUUUUUUUUCAGUAAUUUUUUUUUAAUUGAAUUGGAUUUUGUAAACAUUUUUUCAUAUUUUUAAUUAUAAUAAGCACUAUUUUAGAGGAUAACAUAAAUUUGAAUAAAACGUAUGAAGAUUUAAGAUUUGAAUAAAAAGCUUUGUGUGUUUCAGAAUAUGUUUGUCAAAAGGCUAUUAUCUAGGGAUGAUGCUUUCGCCAUAGAUUUCAGGAAACAAUGGAUCAUCAGGACUACUGAGAAAUUUAAAGAGACAGAGAUUUUGAAUCAUAAAAAUUAUAAAAAUAUGACUAUUUAACAGCCACAUUAGUUAGUUCUCACAUUUUUUCUUAAAUACAAUAUAUUUCUUUAUUUUUUGUUUAAAACGAUCAAUAUUUAAAUAGAAUUUAAAAUAAUCUCAAAUAUGGCCAUUUCUAUUUUUAAUUUCUUUGCUUAAGUUCUUCAUACGCACUCACACUUCUUUCUCAACAGAAUUUUCUCAAAUCAAAUUUCUUUAAUUAACAAAAUUCGAUAAGAAAACCCAAUUCCAAUUCUAAUUUAGUUCUAAUAUCUAGCAUUAAUAUUUCGAUUUUUUUUUUUUAGUUUAUUCAAUUCAUAAAUGUUUAUUCGUGACUAUAAUGCAUUCAAAUGCAAAGAGGCAAGGGGCGCGAAACGCUUUCGUAUGCUUGUUUGUCGUCCACACGCAGGACGAUCAGAGGGGGAUGAGGCUAACUAGACAUCGAAUUAAGCCAGCACUCCGAAACGCUUUUAAAAUUUAAAUAAUGCAUCGUUGCCUGUCUCUCCCUUCCUUUGGCAUCGGAAUUUCUCAUUGUCCGCGUUCCUUCACCUGUCGACCCUCGUUGCCUCGACUUUUUUGCCAGUUUUUGAGAAACGCCUGGACGUCGCAACCUGUUACCAUCGACGGACCAGGCCGAACGUCACGACUUCCCCGUUCGUUCCAAAGCCGGACGGAAACGGAGGUGGCUGACAAGGAUACGGCACGAAGGAAGAAAGUUUCUCGCGGAUCCGAGUUUCAGAAAUAUCGCGUGUUUCCCGUAGAUAUAAUAAAAACCGGAUUUCCAGCUGGGCCAUCUUCGGGACGGAAUCGACAGAAUUGUCGAGAUGCAUAUCGAGAAUGGAAAUCGAGAAGAAUCGAAAUAUUGGAAAAAUGCUUAAGAAAGUAUAGAGGAUGCUGGAGGAACAAUUAAAAAUUUUGAAGGACAAUUAGUGAAAUUGAAAAUAAAUUCUUUCUCUUCUCUGUUUAUGUUGAUUUAAGGAAAAGCGAUAGAAGAAGGAAGAGGAAAUAUUGUAAUUGGAUUAUAGAAAUAUAUUUUUGUAACAUCAUAUCGUAAACAGAGAAGAGAAAAUAAAAAUAACUAAAUAAUAAAACUAAUCGUUAUAAAUGCGUAAAUAUUUCUUACAUUGUUAACGAAUGUUAUAAAUAUCUCUAUUUUUUAAUGAGACGAAUCAUUUAUAACUAUAAUUGUAAACAAUCUGUUCUAAAAUAUUAUUUAUGAAAGGAGCAUGAAAUAUAAAGUGAAAUUUCAAAUAUCAGAUAUACUAGUAUAAACGAUCGUUUAUUAUCGAGUGUACGAUACAUAUCAGUGACAGUACAAUUAGCCAUAAGUAUUGGUCAAUCGAUCGUUCAAGUAACAAUUAGUCGACGAUUCCAUAAGUCAAGUGUACAAUUAUAAUUUCAAAGGAAUAUUUUAAUUCAUUUGAGAGAAGGGCUGAUCGAGUAUCGUGGAUAAAAUUGAAUAAAGUGCAGUAUCAUGAAAGAGAUUUCUUUUGGUUAUUUUUAUUCGAGCGCAGAUCUACAGCAUCAAUUUGUUUUUAACGUAAAUACAUCGGGAUUAAAUCAAUUC